UACAGAGGUCUCAAGCGUUGUUCGGAUUCAUUGGGCGUAAAAGGGUGCGUAGGCGGCGCGGUAAGUCGGGUGUGAAAUCUUGGAGCUUAACUCCGAAACUGCAUUCGAUACUGCGGUGCUUGAGGACUGGAGAGGAGACUGGAAUUCAUGGUGUAGCAGUAAAAUGCGUAGAGAUCAUGAGGAAGACCAGUGGCGAAGGCGGGUCUCUGGACAGUUCCUGGACACUGAGACACGAAGGCCAGGGGAGCAAACGGG
rnacentral:rRNA from 1 species